rnacentral:rRNA from 1 species
AUUGAACGCUGGCGGCAGGCCUAACACAUGCAAGUCGAACGAGUGGCGGACGGGUGAGUAAUGUGUGGGACACUGCCUGGUGGGGGGGGAUAACUACUGGAAGCUGUAUAUAAUACCGCAUACCAUCAGGUGCGCCGAUAUGGGAUUAGCGUGUUGGUGGGGUAACGGCGCACCAAGGCGACGAUCCCUCGGUGGGCUGAGAGGAUGACAAGCCACACUGGACCGGGGAAACGGUCCAGACUCCUACGGGAGGAAGCAGUGGGGAAUAUUGCACAAUGGGCUCAAGCCUGAUGCAGCCAUGCCGCGUGUAUGAAGAAGGCCUUCGGGUUGUAAAGUACUUUCAGCGGGGAGGCGUUACCCGCAGAAGAAGCACCGGCUAACUCCGUGCCAGCCGCCGCGGUAAUAC